GCCGGGCGUGGUGGCGCAUGCCUGUAAUCCCAGCUACUCAGGAGGCUGAGGCAGGAGAAUCGCUUGAACCUGGGAGGUGGAGGUUGCAGUGAGCCAAGAUCAUGCCAUUGCACUCCAGCCUGGGUGACAGGGUGAGACUCUGUCUCAA
rnacentral:sRNA from 1 species